GAGGAUUUGGUCUGUGCAUAAUGGCAUAGAAAUUGAUCCUGUGGAGAGCACAGAUUCCGGCACCUUUGACUUCAGAGAUCCGCAAGGCAACCUGGUCUUGACUGUGAAGGUGAAGGUAUUGCAAGGCGGGGAAUAGCGUUUUUUUUCUCAACAGAGGAAAAAUGUGUGAAAAAACGGUUACUGAUGUUUCAUCAUCUCCAUGCUCCUACAGAAUCUGGCCCUACAUUUUUGUACGUUGCUGCUAUUGUCGGGAUUUACCUUUGUGGUGAUUGUUUCCUGUUGCUGCGUGAGAAAGUGCUGUUUUAAAAAGAGCUCUUCCAAAAGGAGCAGGUCUGCUCCUCAGACGCCAACAGCAACUGCUGUGUCUUACCCUGAUACAAAUCAACCUGCACGCCCAAGUCACUCUGCUGCACCACCUACUUCAGCCUCAACACUGAAUCCCCUUGUGUCUGCAGGACCCACAACUACCUCCCUUGGGCCAUCAGUUGCAGUCCUAGGAGGUCAGGGAGACACUCCAGCUCCCUCAGUCGGCUCCAAUUGGCUCUCCUCGGACCCAGAGCCAAAGUUUGAUCUGAAAGGACAGACCUUUCCCCUCAGCUCAGACUCAACUUUCUGUGACGUUUAUAACUCACAUAAACUCAACUUUCAUUAGGGAACACACUGAAAAUUCAAGUGGUGCAGGUUUGAAUUCAGCAGUGUGCUUUGUGAGUAGCUGGUACACAGCCAUUUCAGUCAUCGAUUGGAUUGUGUGAUAUGCGCACAGUAAAAAAAAAACCAAACAAACAAACAAAAAUUCUUGCAAGCCUGCACAACUGUGAUAGGUGUACAGUUUAAGGACCAUACAGGCAGUGAGAAAACACGGUAAGAGACAAUAAGCCUCACUCAGUGUAGUUCUUUAAUUACAGCUGUGUUUCAAGAAAGAACUGUCAUAAUCAGGUUAUCUGUAUAAUGUGGAAUAUACAUGUAUUUGCUAUGAAUAGAGGUUAUAUUUAGAAUGUGUAAUAUACACGUUGACUUUGCCUUUGUUCCGCUGCUAAAGAUAUGAAAGGCAGGUGAGAUGAUGUUACAGUGAGGGCCUAAAGUGAGUCUAUGUAGCAGAUUUCAGAGACUGGAGACUCAAACUGAGUGCAACACUCACGGAUGUCAAAAUGAAAAACUUAACAAUUUAAGCCACAAUUACCAGCUUUAUAUAUUUUAUAUCUUUGUUUUUUAUGUGGUUGUUUCAAACAUUUAUCAAGUGCCUUCAGCUGCACAAAGUGUCAGUGUGGCUUUUAUCAUUACAUUUUGAGAAGUAAUGCGGGAUAUUUUUCAUAUCUAUUUUAGACUUUGUAAAAAUUAAAGUCCUACAGCUGGAAACUGUUGGACUGAAUCUUUUCACAUAUCUGUAGCUCUUGUGUA